GAUGAAAACGCAGUGAAAUGCGAUAAGUAAUGUGAAUUGCAGAAUUCAGUGAAUCAUCGAAUCUUUGAACGCACAUUGCGCCCGCCAGUAUUCUGGCGGGCAUGCCUGUUCGAGCGUCAUUUCAACCAUCAAGCCCCCGGCUUGUGUUGGGGACCUGCGGCUGCCGCAGGCCCUGAAAACCAGUGGCGGGCUCGCUAGUCACUCCGAGCGUAGUAAUACAUCUCGCUCAGGGCGUGCUGCGGGUUCCGGCCGUUAAAAAGCCUUAUUUACCCAAGGUUGACCUCGGAUCAGGUAGGAAGACCCGCUGAACUUAAGCAUAUCAAUAAGCGGAGGA
rnacentral:misc_RNA from 1 species